rnacentral:snoRNA from 1 species
CCCUGCCCCGGGUCACACCUGGAGAGUUUCCAGUAUGCUACCAGUCUCGGCUACAGGAGGGAGAGUCAAGCAGAGGCAUUCCCAUUCCAUUCCUAGCUUGGCCAGUGGCUAGCGAGUGGAAGGCAAUCUGCUACAGGU